UUGCUUGGUAGUUGUUCAAGACUUCUAAGCACUCUCAAUCUCAAAGGUGUAUUUUUAUGCACUCAGGUGCUAUUAUGUGAUGAUUGUUGAUGCAUGGUAUACAUAGGAUGGACUCGUAUCUUAGCGACUUUAAAACUUGAAAUAUAAUAAUAUUAUUUGUCUGAUUUGUAAUAAAACAAUGAGUUCAAUAAUUUAAUAAAACGA
rnacentral:lncRNA from 1 species